UAGGGAAUCUUCCGCAAUGGGCGAAAGCCUGACGGAGCAACGCCGCGUGAGUGAUGAAGGUCUUCGGAUCGUAAAACUCUGUUAUUAGGGAAGAACAAAUGUGUAAGUAACUAUUCACAUCUUGACGGUACCUAAUCAGAAAGCCACGGCUAACUACGUGCCAGCAGCCGCGGUAAUACGUAGGUGGCAAGCGUUAUCCGGAAUUAUUGGGCGUAAAGCGCGCGUAGGCGGUUUUUUAAGUCUGAUGUGAAAGCCCACGGCUCAACCGUGGAGGGUCAUUGGAAACUGGAAAACUUGAGUGCAGAAGAGGAAAGUGGAAUUCCAUGUGUAGCGGUGAAAUGCGCAGAGAUAUGGAGGAACACCAGUGGCGAAGGCGACUUUCUGGUCUGUAACUGACGCUGAUGUGAGAAAGCGUGGGGAUCAAACAGG
rnacentral:rRNA from 1 species